rnacentral:rRNA from 1 species
UACAGAGGGGGCGAGCGUUGUCCGGAAUCAUUGGGCGUAAAGAGCGUGUAGGCGGCCACUUAAGUCCUGCGUGAAAUCUUGCGGCUCAACCGCAAGCGGUCGUGGGAAACUGGGUGGCUAGAGUGCGGGAGAGGAGAGUGGAAUUCCUGGUGUAGCGGUGAAAUGCGCAGAUAUCAGGAGGAACACCGGUGGCGAAGGCGGGUCUCUGGGCAGUAACUGACGCUGAGGAGUGAAAGCGUGGGGAGCGAACAGG